rnacentral:rRNA from 1 species
CCCUUAGAUGUUCUGGGCCGCACGCGUGCUACACUGAUGCAUUCAACGAGUCUAAAACCUGGUCUGAUAGGGCUGGGUAAUCUUUUGAAAGUGCAUCGUGAUUGGGAUAGAUGAUUGCAAUUCUUCAUCUUCAACGAGGAAUGCCUAGUAAACGCAAGUCAUCAGCUUGCAUUGAUUACGUCCCUGCCCUUUGUACACACCGCCCGUCGCUACUACUGAUUGGGUGUUCAAGUGAGAUGCUUAGACCCUUGUUGCAUGGUUCAUUAUUGUGCUCCGAAAGGAAAAAGUUUCAAGCUUGAGUGUCUAGAGGAAGUAAAAGUCGUAACA